AAAUUCUUUGCCUGUUCCUAGAAGGGUACGGUACAUGUAUUCCUGUCAAAUAAAGGGUAAGGGGAGGGUAUCCCGGUUUCUGCCGGUUGCUUUCAUCCCCUUCAACACUCGCCAUUCCUGGGCUAGUGCUUGCUCAUCUCCGGCGCUGCAGCUGCCUCCUUUCCUCGUCUCAGCGUCGUCGCCCUUCAUGCUCAGAUCUGUGCAAGCGCACAGGACUCUGAGUAGCACAGACCUCAC
rnacentral:lncRNA from 1 species